ACUGCACCUCCUGCUCUGGAGUUUAUGAACUGGGAAUAGCUGUGUCACGACGAAAAGCUGGGCGAGAGGCUACCAGACUUGACCCUGAUUAUAUUGUUCCUGUUUAUGUUGGAAAAUCGAAUAAUGUUAGAACUAGACUGCAGCAAUAUGGACGUGUAGGUGCUCAUUUAGAGAAUGACUAUUCCAAUAGCGAGCUGCACGUUGGUGAAAUAAUAUCUGGUCCAAAGAGAGCUGGAUUAUUUACAGAAACAUUUUCAAGAGGCUUCUCUAUUGUUUAUAG
rnacentral:misc_RNA from 1 species